GAUGAAGAACGCAGCGAAAUGCGAUAAGUAAUGUGAAUUGCAGAAUUCAGUGAAUCAUCGAAUCUUUGAACGCACAUUGCGCCCGCCAGUAUUCUGGCGGGCAUGCCUGUCCGAGCGUCAUUUCAACCAUCAAGCCCCCGGGCUUGUGUUGGGGACCUGCGGCUGCCCGCAGGCCCUGAAAACCAGUGGCGGGCUCGCUGUCACACCGAGCGUAGUAGCAAUCACCUCGCUCAGGGCGUGCUGCGGGUUCCGGCCGUUAAACAGCCUUACAAAACCCAAGGUUGACCUCGGAUCAGGUAGGAAUACCCGCUGAACUUAAGCAUAUCAAUAAGCGGAGGA
rnacentral:misc_RNA from 1 species